rnacentral:rRNA from 1 species
GUGGGGAAUCUUCCGCAAUGGACGAAAGUCUGACGGAGCAACGCCGCGUGAACGAUGACGGCCUUCGGGUUGUAAAGUUCUGUUAUACGGGACGAAUGGUACGACGGCCAAUACCCGUCGUAAGUGACGGUACCGUAAGAGAAAGCCACGGCUAACUACGUGCCAGCAGCCGCGGUAAUACGUAGGUGGCAAGCGUUGUCCGGAAUUAUUGGGCGUAAAGGGCGCGCAGGCGGCGUCGUAAGUCGGUCUUAAAAGUGCGGGGCUUAACCCCGUGAGGGGACAGAAACUGCGAUGCUAGAGUAUCGGAGAGGAAAGCGGAAUUCCUAGUGUAGCGGUGAAAUGCGUAGAUAUUAGGAGGAACACCAGUGGCGAAAGCGGCUUUCUGGACGACAACUGACGCUGAGGCGCGAAAGCCAGGGGAGCAAACGGGAUUAGAAACCCUUGUAGUCC